CAAUACGGGGGAGGAAGGUCUGUACCGCUCCUUUGGGUCGUAAACCGCUUUUAACAGGGAAGAAGAUCUGACGGUACCUGUUGAUCGGCUAACUCCGUGCCAGCAGCCGCGGUAAGACGGAGGAGGCAAGCGUUAUCCGGAAUUAUUGGGCGUAAAGCGUCCGCAGGUGGCUAUCAAGUCUGUUGUUAAAGCCCACUCAACUCUGGAUCAGCAAUGGAAACUGAAAGGCUAGAGUACGGUAGGGGUAGAGGGAAUUCCCAGUGUAGCGGUGAAAUGCGUAGAUAUUGGAAGAACACCAGUGGCGAAGGCGCUCUGCUGGGCCGUA
rnacentral:rRNA from 1 species